UUAAGUGACUAAGCGUACACGGUGGAUGCCUUGGCAGUCAGAGGCGAUGAAAGACGUAGUAACUUGCGAUAAGCCCAGAUUAGGUAGUAACAACCAUUUGAGUCUGGGAUUUCUGAAUGGGGAAACCCACUUACAUAAGUAAGUAUCAUUAACUGAAUACAUAGGUUAAUGAGGCGAACCGGGGGAACUGAAACAUCUAAGUACCCCGAGGAAAAGAAAUCAACCGAGAUUCCGAAAGUAGCGGCGAGCGAAAUUGGACUAGCCCUUAAGCUUUACACGCGUUAGACGAACGGUCUGGAAAGUCCGACGAUACAGGGUGAUAGUCCCGUAGUUGACGACGUGUGUUCAGUGAAAUCGAGUAGGGCGGGACACGUGAUAUCCUGUCUGAAUAUGGGGGGACCAUCCUCCAAGGCUAAAUACUACUGACUGACCGAUAGUGAACCAGUACCGUGAGGGAAAGGCGAAAAGAACCCCUGUGAGGGGAGUGAAAUAGAACCUGAAACCGUGUACGUACAAGCAGUAGGAGCAGGCUUGUCCUGUGACUGCGUACCUUUUGUAUAAUGGGUCAGCGACUUAUAUUCAGUGGCAAGGUUAACCAUCUAGGGGAGCCGUAGGGAAACCGAGUCUUAACUGGGCGUUCAGUCUCUGGAUAUAGACCCGAAACCAGGUGAUCUAGCCAUGGGCAGGUUGAAGGUUGAGUAACAUCAACUGGAGGACCGAACCGACUAAUGUUGAAAAAUUAGCGGAUGACUUGUGGCUAGGGGUGAAAGGCCAAUCAAACCUGGAGAUAGCUGGUUCUCCCCGAAAGCUAUUUAGGUAGCGCCUCGGACGAAUACUACUGGGGGUAGAGCACUGUUAAGGCUAGGGGGUCAUCUCGACUUACCAACCCUUUGCAAACUCCGAAUACCAGUAAGUACUAUCCGGGAGACACACGGCGGGUGCUAACGUCCGUCGUGGAGAGGGAAACAACCCAGACCGCCAGCUAAGGUCCCAAAUUACUACUAAGUGGGAAACGAUGUGGGAAGGCUCAGACAGCCAGGAUGUUGGCUUAGAAGCAGCCAUCAUUUAAAGAAAGCGUAAUAGCUCACUGGUCGAGUCGGCCUGCGCGGAAGAUGUAACGGGGCUAAGUAGUAAACCGAAGCUGCGGCAAUGUGCUUUUGCACAUUGGGUAGGGGAGCGUUCUGUAAGCGGUUGAAGGUGUGUGGUAACGCAUGCUGGACGUAUCAGAAGUGCGAAUGCUGACAUGAGUAACGAUAAAGGGGGUGAAAAACCUCCUCGCCGGAAGACCAAGGGUUCCUGUCCAACGUUAAUCGGGGCAGGGUAAGUCGACCCCUAAGGCGAGGCCGAAAGGCGUAGUCGAUGGGAAACGGGUUAAUAUUCCCGUACUUCUUACAAUUGCGAUGGGGGGACGGAGAAGGCUAGGUGGGCCUGGCGACGGUUGUCCAGGUUCAAGUGCGUAGGCUUAAGAGUUAGGUAAAUCCGGCUCUUUUUAAGGCUGAGACACGACGUCGAGCACCUACGGGUGUGAAGUCAUUGAUGCCAUGCUUCCAGGAAAAGCCUCUAAGCUUCAGAUUGUAAGGAAUCGUACCCCAAACCGACACAGGUGGUCGGGUAGAGAAUACCAAGGCGCUUGAGAGAACUCGGGUGAAGGAACUAGGCAAAAUGGUACCGUAACUUCGGGAGAAGGUACGCUCUUGAUGGUGAAGUCCCUCGCGGAUGGAGCUGACGAGAGUCGCAGAUACCAGGUGGCUGCAACUGUUUAUUAAAAACACAGCACUGUGCAAAAUCGUAAGAUGACGUAUACGGUGUGACGCCUGCCCGGUGCCGGAAGGUUAAUUGAUGGGGUUAGACUUCGGUCGAAGCUCUUGAUCGAAGCCCCGGUAAACGGCGGCCGUAACUAUAACGGUCCUAAGGUAGCGAAAUUCCUUGUCGGGUAAGUUCCGACCUGCACGAAUGGCGUAAUGAUGGCCACGCUGUCUCCACCCGAGACUCAGUGAAAUUGAAAUCGCUGUGAAGAUGCAGUGUACCCGCGGCUAGACGGAAAGACCCCGUGAACCUUUACUACAGCUUGGCACUGAACAUUGACCCUACAUGUGUAGGAUAGGUGGGAGGCUUUGAAGCAAGUACGCCAGUAUUUGUGGAGCCGUCCUUGAAAUACCACCCUUGUAGUGUUGAUGUUCUAACGUCGACCCCUAAUCGGGGUUGCGGACAGUGCCUGGUGGGUAGUUUGACUGGGGCGGUCUCCUCCCAAAGAGUAACGGAGGAGCACGAAGGUGGGCUAAUCACGGUUGGACAUCGUGAGGUUAGUGCAAUGGCAUAAGCCCGCUUGACUGCGAGAAUGACAAUUCGAGCAGGUGCGAAAGCAGGUCAUAGUGAUCCGGUGGUUCUGAAUGGAAGGGCCAUCGCUCAACGGAUAAAAGGUACUCCGGGGAUAACAGGCUGAUACCGCCCAAGAGUUCAUAUCGACGGCGGUGUUUGGCACCUCGAUGUCGGCUCAUCACAUCCUGGGGCUGAAGUCGGUCCCAAGGGUAUGGCUGUUCGCCAUUUAAAGUGGUACGCGAGCUGGGUUUAGAACGUCGUGAGACAGUUCGGUCCCUAUCUGCCGUGGGCGUUGGAAGAUUGAAGGGGGCUGCUCCUAGUACGAGAGGACCGGAGUGGACGAACCUCUGGUGUUCGGGUUGUGUCGCCAGACGCAUUGCCCGGUAGCUAAGUUCGGAAUCGAUAACCGCUGAAAGCAUCUAAGCGGGAAGCGAGCCCUGAGAUGAGUCUUCCCUGAUACUUUAAGUAUCCUAAAGGGUUGUCGGAGACUACGACGUUGAUAGGUCAGGUGUGUAAGUGCUGUGAGGCAUUGAGCUAACUGAUACUAAUUGCCCGUGAGGCUUAACCAU
rnacentral:rRNA from 1 species